AUCCAGGUUAGUUGAUUCUGUUGGUCUUCCUGUGGAGUUCCUAUCCACUUAGAGGGCAAUCUUUUCACUUGUUCUUUAUUAAGAGUCCCCAAGCUCCAUGCACUAUUUGGUUGUGAGUGUCUACAUCUGGGUUGACCCUAUCAGAGGGCAGCCAUACUAAAUUCCUGUCUGUAAGCAUAACAGAGUAUCAUUAAUAGUGUCAGGGUUCUGUCCUUGCUCAUUGGAUAGGUCUCAAUUUGGGCCAGUUAACAGUUGGCCAUUCCCUCAGUCUCUGUUCUAUUCCCCUGUCCCUGAAUUUCCUAUAGAUUGGAUAAAUUUAGGGUUGACAGUUUUGUGGGUGGGUUGGUUUUGUGGUUGUAGCCCCAGUGGGAUUUAUGCCUAUCUACAGGAGGUAGCCUCUUCAGGUUCUAUAUCCCCAGUGCUGUGAAUCACAGCUAAGGACACCCCCACUGAUUCUUGGGUGCCUCCCUUAUCCCAGGUCUUUCUCUAUUCCUGGAGAUGCCCCCCCCCACCUCCCCACCCCUGUCAUUUGAAGGUUUUACUUCAUCCUCAUGGCUAUCUGGCUGUCCCUCUGGUUCCUCCCCAUACUUGAUCCUGUAGCCCCCCUCCCAUCUUCCCUUCCAAACCUCUCUCUCACCAUCAGUUCCCUCCCUCCAUAUGCCUCUUAUGACUAUUUUAUUUUCCUUUAAAAGUGGGAUUCUAGCAUCCUUGCUUGUGCCUUCCUUCUUGUUUAACUUCUUUGAGUUUGUGGAUUUCCAUCUUACACUGUUCAGAAUGGCUAAGAUAAAAAAACUUAAGUGAUAGCAUAUGCUGGUGAGGAUGUGGAGCAAGGGGAACACUCCUUCAUUGGUGAUGGGAGUGCAAACUUGCACAACCAUUUUGGAAAUCAAUUUGGCACUUUCUUAGAAAACUGGGAAUAGUUCUACCUCAAUAUGAAGCUACACCACACCUAGGUAUAUAUCCAAAAGAUGUCCCUCUGAAGUGGAAACUUAGAAAAACACUCUUCCAUUGUUGGUUUUGAGGCUCCUGAUUUCAGAAAAUUGAAUCAUUGAUCUUCAUUAUGGGAAACAUGGCAGCAGGCAGCCAAGUUUGGUGCUGGGACCAUAGCUGACAGCUUAUGUCAUGAUUUUCAGGGAAAAGAACAAAAGAAAACUAACAGGGAAUGGUAUGGAAUUUUGAAAUAUCAAAGCCCAGCCCAGUGACAUAUUUCCUCUAAUAAAGACAGGUCUUUUAAUCCUUCCUAAAAUGUUCUACAAACUGGGAAACAAACAUCCAAAUACAUGAGUGCUCAUGGGGACCAUUCUUGUUCAAAUCACCACAUUCUAUUCAUUGGCCCCUAUAGGCAUAGGGCCAUAACAUAAUGUAAAGUACACUUAGUCCAACUUCAAAAUUAUUCAUGGUAUAGUCUCAAGACUGUUUCAAAGUCCAAUGUCUCUUUUGAGACUCAAGGGAGUCUCCUAAUUGUAACAUCCUAUAAAAUCAGAAGGCAAAUUAAAUAUUGACAGCAUAUAAUGGCACAGUGAGGAAAUACUGAAACACACCAAGACCAAAGCCCAGCAGGGCAAACUGCAAAUAAUCUAGUUCUAUGUCUAAUGUCAAAGGUUUUAUAUGUUUCUUUCCUUCUAGUUUUUGUGACUGCAACAUACCUAGGCUGCUUCCCCUCCUUGUUUAUAGCAUUACUUGACAGGAUUCCCAUGGCUCUGGCUUCUCUAAUGUUUUAGGGACUCUAAAACAAUCCGGGCCUCAUCAUCACAACUAUGCACAAAAGACUUUCUGAUCUUCCAUACAGGGACUCCUCUGCCACAUGUCUGGCUUCAGUAGGUCUCCAUAGCUUUGGAGGAAGAUUCCAUAAUCCCUUUACUUCAUAUCCUUGGACUACAUUUGGAUAAGCUUUCAUUUGUUGAUUCUUGUAAAGAACUAAUAAUUCCUUAGACUUUUAUAUUUCACUAGUUGGAAGUUUAGUUGGGUGGUUUCUUUCUCUGAGGGUACUACUCCAUUUAUUUCAUUUUUAUCAUAUCUGUCAUCUCUUUCAGGCACAAGCCUUGGCUCCAAUACUUCCUGGUACUCUUUUUCUUCUCAUGCUGUACAUUUGGUAUUUCUUUGUUGCCCCAAUUGUUUUUGUUUUUUAAAAUUGUAUACCCACAUAGGAGUGAUCACUAAUAAUCACAUGAUAGAAUCAGAAUUAAGGUUUCUUAAAAUCUCCUCUGCUAAUGAAAUUAGUACAGAAUGCUCCAAUUUAACCUCAUGUAGAUAUUACAUCUACAUGGCAAAAUCAAAGAAUAUCCACAUUCUUUACC
rnacentral:lncRNA from 1 species